rnacentral:antisense_RNA from 1 species
GCUGAAGAAACAGAUGGGCUUUUAGACUUGGACCUCAUCCAAGGAGCUGGCUGCCUGCACUUUCACAGACCGUCAGCUUCAUCCCCAGGCCCCAAAUCCUCAAUUUGCCCUACGUCAAUGAAAAACCAUCAUCAGCUUUUCUUUACAUUAAAAACUGAUUGUGAUCAUAGCAGUUUUUCCUGUUUUCUGGGAUCACUGCUGCAAAGAGGAGAAGUCACAAGACUUUUCCUGGUGACACACACGCAAACUCUUCUGUGGCUGAAAUUCCCCUCACUCUUCCUGCCUCUAACCAAAAAGGAGGAUACAGACCAAGGAGCACUUCAUGAAGGUCAGACAUAGCAGCACCAAGAGACAAAACAGACAGUGUUCACUAGGGCGAACAAGCGGCUCAAAAGGCACUGGAGUUUCCCUGUAAGAACUACAAACACCACAGGAGUGAUGUUAACUCAGAUUUUUCCAUAUAAAAGAUUCUUCCUGUAAA